rnacentral:rRNA from 1 species
AUUGAACGCUGGCGGCAGGCCUAACACAUGCAAGUCGAGCGGAGCGGAGGACGGGUGAGUAAUGCCUAGGAAUCUGCAUGGUAGUGGGGGAUAACGUCCGGAAACGGGCGCUAAUACAGCAUACUAUCAGAUGAGACUAGGUCGGAUUAGCUAGUUGGUGGGGUAAAGGACUACAAAGGCGACUAUCCGUAACUGGUCUGAGAGGAUGAUCAGUCCAACUGGAACGUAGACACUGUCCAGACUCCUACGGGAGGCAGAAUUGGGGAAUAUUGGACAAUGGGCGAAAGCCUGAUGCAGCCAUGCCGCGUGUGUGAAGAAGGUCUUCGGAUUGUAAAGCACUUUAAGUUGGGAGGCGUUACCAACAGAAUAAGCACCGGCUAACUUCGUGCCAGCAGCCGCGGUAAUAC